rnacentral:lncRNA from 1 species
AGCUAGAGUGGUAGGCUGACUUAAAAUUAGAACAAGGCAGACUUCUUCCCCAACUGCUUCCCCAGGUUUCCCUGGGGAUUUGCAAACAUUUGCCAACCUCCCCUGUUUCCCAAGCCUGAACUUCAAAGGCCACAGAGGACUGCUGGCAUUUCCUGGUUCUGUGACACCCUGGUCCCCCCUGGUAUGAUGAAGCUCAGAGCCUGCCAGAGCUUCUUCUGGGAGCACUACACCAGACCACAUAACGCCCACGAGGCUACGGUUUCCUGGAAUCCCUCGCUGGAAUCCACGAGGAGUCACUGGGCCUCAAAGCUCAGAAAGCAUCAUGGAAUGUCAGAACACAGUCCAAGCAUGGAGUUGUGUGGUCAGAUUUCUGAAUGCUUGUAAGAAAAUGGGACAAGACUCUUGCAACCUCAGCUUCUUCAAAAACAAAAAACAGAAUUGCUCUUGGAAUGUGCUUGCGUGCCCAUUCCAGGUGUAGUGGACUGGAGUGAGAUUACUUCAGAUUAUUCAUUACAACUGGCUGUUGUUAUUUGUUUAGACAACUCUAUGGAGAAACACAUUUUGCCCUGUGUGUCCUUGCAAUUAAACAUCUUACUCCUGUGAUUCUUCUUAACCCCUGAGUAUAAAUUGCCCAAUGCUCUGAAUAAAGCUGGC